UAAAAACUGGUGGUCUAUCACCAACAUCGUAAGCAUCGUAAGCCUGCAAAUGCAAUCAAAAUUAAGUUUCUGGGAGAAGAAAAAACUGUUUGUUACCUUUGUCGUCAUCCAUUGUUUUUGUUAGGGUUUCUUCUCAAGCUUGUAGGAGAAAAAAUAAGAUGGCGCCUUUGUAAAAUGCCUAAAUCGAUUGAACAGUCCUCUGUUUAUGUUUAUCCAUUCCCCGGUCAACGCGGACACUUUGCUGGAUUAUUAGUAUGCAUAUACUAACCAGCAUACAAAACACGACCCAAGGCUUGAGAGUUAUUGGGCUAAAGCCAAAUGAGAAGAUUGCACUCUUUGCUGAGAAUUCAUGUCGAUGGCUUGUUGCAAAUCAAGGUAGUGGCGCACUGUUCGAAACUUGGUGGAUCAUGGUGCGCUACUCUACUCUCCUCCACUUAAGUACCAGGCUUUUGAAUGUGGCGUGAUUAAGAGUAGGAUGAAAUGAUUUACCUUGAUCACUCAUAAAUCGGAUACUCAAUAGCAGCCAAGUGCCCAAGCUUUUGAUUUAGCUUACUUAAAUAGGGAAUAAGUCAGCAGACUCUUAUUCACAUACACUCGUCUAUCCUUUGCAAAGCUUCAAUCACCAUUCACUAUCGUAAGGUCCAGUUGAUAUACUGUCCUGUAAAAUAACCUGAACUCAAGCAUGGACACGAGAUGGUAAAUGGGGUUGCUUAAUCACUGAUGCGUUUAUUAAGUAAGGAUAUAGUGUAAAAUCACAAUCCAAAUUAUGUUCAAUUUAUUUGGAAGCUCUGUUGCAAAGUGUCUAGUUUCCUUUAGGUAUGAUGGCAAUGGGGAUAUUAAUGUUGUAAGGGGUUCAAGGUCAUUAGCUCAAGAGCUAGUGCAAUUACAACCACUCUGAAAGGUUAGUGCAGAUGUUCGUCUGUUGUUCUAAUUAACCUGUUAAUGAGUAUGUUACUUGUUCUCCCCAUCUUUCUUCUCUUUUCUUUUUCCUGAUUAGUUGUUUUCCCUGUCUCUCAUUUUUAAACAUGUUGAUAUUGUCCUUAUCAAAAAAAAAAGGACAUGUUGAUACUGUUAUUGUCAAGAGUCAUAUGAAUCUACUUCAUUCUUAAGAUGUAGGUAAGACAUUUACUAUAAGAUAUAUAACUUAAGCAAAAAAACGUUCUUGCUUAAUUAGAAACUGAAUGUUACUAAAAAUAUCUCAAAAGUGCAAACACAAGCUCUUUUUUAUUUGUUUUGACCGGAAGAGCGUAAUGUUUAAUUCUUGAUUUUGUCAUUGAUGAGAAAUGUCUUCAAUCUUAAUGUGCGCAGCAUACAAAU